rnacentral:rRNA from 1 species
GCCCAGACUCCUACGGGAGGCAGCAGUGGGGAAUAUUGCACAAUGGGGAAAACCCUGAUGCAGCGACGCCGCGUGAGUGAAGAAGUAUUUCGGUAUGUAAAGCUCUAUCAGCAGGGAAGAAAAUGACGGUACCUGACUAAGAAGCCCCGGCUAACUACGUGCCAGCAGCCGCGGUAAUACGUAGGGGGCAAGCGUUAUCCGGAUUUACUGGGUGUAAAGGGAGCGUAGACGGCAUGGCAAGUCAGAUGUGAAAGCCCGGGGCUCAACCCCGGGACUGCAUUUGAAACUGUCAGGCUGGAGUGCAGGAGAGGUAAGUGGAAUUCCUAGUGUAGCGGUGAAAUGCGUAGAUAUUAGGAGGAACACCAGUGGCGAAGGCGGCUUACUGGACUGUAACUGACGUUGAGGCUCGAAAGCGUGGGGAGCAAACAGGAUUAGAUACCCCUGUAC